CCUACGGGGAGCUGCAGUCGGGAAUAUUGCGCAAUGGAGGAAACUCUGACGCAGUGACGCCGCGUAUAGGAAGAAGGUUUUCGGAUUGUAAAGCUCUGUUGGUAGUGAAGAAAGAUAGAGGUAGUAACUGGCCUUUAUUUGACGGUAAUUACUUAGAAAGUCACGGCUAACUACGUGCCAGCAGCCGCGGUAAUACGUAGGUGGCAAGCGUUGUCCGGAUUUAUUGGGCGUAAAGCGAGUGCAGGCGGUUCAAUAAGUCUGAUGUGAAAGCCUUCGGCUCAACCGGAGAAUUGCAUCAGAAACUGUUGAACUUGAGUGCAGAAGAGGAGAGUGGAACUCCAUGUGUAGCGGUGGAAUGCGUAGAUAUAUGGAAGAACACCAGUGGCGAAGGCGGCUCUCUGGUCUGCAACUGACGCUGAGGCUCGAAAGCAUGGGUAGCGAACAGGAUUAGAUACCCCAGUAGUC
rnacentral:rRNA from 1 species